AGAGUUUGAUCCUGGCUCAGAACGAACGCUGGCGGCAUGCCUAACACAUGCAAGUCGAACGAAGGCUUCGGCCUUAGUGGCGCACGGGUGAGUAACGCGUGGGAACCUGCCCUUUUGUUCGGAAUAACGUUGGGAAACCGACGCUAAUACCGGAUACGCCCUACGGGGGAAAGAUUUAUCGCAGAAGGAGGGGCCCGCGUCGGAUUAGCUAGUUGGUGGGGUAAUGGCUUACCAAGGCGAUGAUCCGUAGCUGGUCUGAGAGGAUGAUCAGCCACACUGGGACUGAGACACGGCCCAGACUCCUACGGGAGGCAGCAGUGGGGAAUAUUGGACAAUGGGCGCAAGCCUGAUCCAGCAAUGCCGCGUGAGUGAUGAAGGCCUUAGGGUUGUAAAGCUCUUUCGCACGCGACGAUGAUGACGGUAGCGUGAGAAGAAGCCCCGGCUAACUUCGUGCCAGCAGCCGCGGUAAUACGAAGGGGGCUAGCGUUGUUCGGAAUUACUGGGCGUAAAGGGCGCGUAGGCGGUUUAUCAAGUUAGGCGUGAAAGCCCCGGGCUCAACCUGGGAAUUGCGCUUGAUACUGGUAGACUUGAGUUCGGGAGAGGUGAGUGGAAUUCCCAGUGUAGAGGUGAAAUUCGUAGAUAUUGGGAAGAACACCGGUGGCGAAGGCGGCUCACUGGACCGAUACUGNNNNUGAGNNGCGAAAGCGUGGGGAGCAAACAGGAUUAGAUACCCUAGUAGUCC
rnacentral:rRNA from 1 species